UUAACGAAGAGAAUGUGGUGGGAAAGAAGAAAAGAAAUAAAAGAAUGGCGAUGCAAGCUUGCUCACAUCCCCAACAAAAUAGUUGACGAGGAAUUGAUUGAGUGAGCUCAGCCAACCAAAAGUCUAUAUAUGAUCAAAACAAUGUGGAGCUGGUGUUAAUUUAGGGAUCGGAGGCAAAACCAUUAUGUUGAUCGGAAGUCUGUUAACACGUGACAUGAUCAAUGUGGGCAGGAGUAGAUUGACAUUGAAAUCACGAACAAUGACUGUUCAUCUACACUGAAGUUUUUGACUUGUCAAAUUGUAAUAUGUUGGAAACUGAUAAGAGUUGAGAUGAGAAGCUAAGAUAUUAGCAGAUAACAAGAACAUUCCGUGACAUGAUGUUGAUUUAGAAUGCUAAAUA